GACGAACGCUGGCGGCGCGCCUAACACAUGCAAGUCGAACGGAGCUUGCUCAGUAGAUUCUUUCGGGAUGACGCAGGGUAAGCUUAGUGGCGAACGGGUGAGUAACACGUGAGGAACCUGCCCUAGAGUGGGGGACAACAGUCGGAAACGACUGCUAAUACCGCAUAAGCCCACGGAGCCGCAUGGCUCAGGGGGAAAAGGAUUUAUUCGCUUUAGGAUGGACUCGCGUCUGAUUAGAUAGUUGGUGAGGUAACGGCCCACCAAGUCGACGAUCAGUAGCCGGACUGAGAGGUUGAUCGGCCACAUUGGGACUGAGACACGGCCCAGACUCCUACGGGAGGCAGCAGUGGGGAAUAUUGCACAAUGGGGGAAACCCUGAUGCAGCGACGCCGCGUGGAGGAAGAAGGUCUUCGGAUUGUAAACUCCUGUUCUUAGGGACGAUAAUGACGGUACCUAAGAAGAAAGCCACGGCUAACUACGUGCCAGCAGCCGCGGUAAAACGUAGGUGGCAAGCGUUGUCCGGAAUUACUGGGUGUAAAGGGAGCGCAGGCGGGAUGGCAAGUUGGAAGUGAAAACUAUGGGCUCAACCCAUAGAUUGCUUUCAAAACUGCUAUUCUUGAGUGGUGCAGAGGUAGGCGGAAUUCCCGGUGUAGCGGUGGAAUGCGUAGAUAUCGGGAGGAACACCAGUGGCGAAGGCGGCCUACUGGGCACUAACUGACGCUGAGGCUCGAAAGCAUGGGUAGCAAACAGGAUUAGAUACCCUGGUAGUCCAUGCCGUAAACGAUGAUUACUAGGUGUGGGGAGAUUGACCCUCUCCGUGCCGCAGUUAACACAAUAAGUAAUCCACCUGGGGAGUACGACCGCAAGGUUGAAACUCAAAGGAAUUGACGGGGGCCCGCACAAGCAGUGGAGUAUGGUGGUUUAAUUCGAAGCAACGCGAAGAACCUUACCAGGUCUUUGACAUCCGAUGCAUAGUCUAGAGAUAGAUGAAGUCCUUCGGGACAUCGAGACAGGUGGUGCAUGGUUGUCGUCAGCUCGUGUCGUGAGAUGUUGGGUUAAGUCCCGCAACGAGCGCAACCCCUAUUGUUAGUUACUACGAAAGAGGACUCUAGCAAGACUGCCGUUGACAAAACGGAGGAAGGUGGGGAUGACGUCAAAUCAUCAUGCCCUUUAUGACCUGGGCUACACACGUACUACAAUGGCGCUUAACAAAGAGAAGCAAGAUCGCGAGAUGGAGCAAACCUCAUAAACAGCGUCUCAGUUCAGAUUGCAGGCUGCAACUCGCCUGCAUGAAGUCGGAAUUGCUAGUAAUCGUGGAUCAGCAUGCCACGGUGAAUACGUUCCCGGGCCU
rnacentral:rRNA from 1 species